GCUCACAGCGCUCACUGUACUCACGACGCUCAUGAUCGGUCCGAUUCGUUAGCAUGCUUAAGGCGCUUGACGACAAUAAACGUUUCGGACCACUUGUAAACGCUACUCAUAGGGAUAUAACCUAAGAUACCUAGCAAAUCAGCCUCGAGGAAAGAAAAAUGAAUAUUCAGUGUAAGGUCGCAGCAUUACAAUUGAUGGAAAUUGCUUUAGAGGAGUCUGAUAGUGAGGAUUUGAAUCGUUUAUUUUAUUCAUCUUCAAGCGAUGAUGAGGAAGCUAUAAAAAAUUUGCAUGCUGCUUUAAUUAUAAGUAAACAAAAAAAAAAUUGAACAGAAGACCUCGGAUUCAAGACUUUAUAGAAAGAGUUAUCUCAGGGUACACAGCACAAGAAUUUAAAACACAUUUUCGAUUACUUCCAACGACCUUCGACCAUGUUUUAAGAUUGAUUGGACCAAGUUUGACUGCUAC
rnacentral:lncRNA from 13 species